rnacentral:rRNA from 1 species
GACGAACGCUGGCGGCGUGCUUAACACAUGCAAGUCGAACGGAGCGAAUGAAAGCUUGCUUUUAUAAGCUUAGUGGCAAACGGGUGAGUAACACGUAGGCAACCUGCCGACAGGAUGGGGACAACAUUCCGAAAGGAAUGCUAAUACCGAAUGAAGUCAGAGGAGGGCAUCCUCUUCUGAUGAAAGAUGGCCUCUAUAUAUAAGCUAUCACCUGUCGAUGGGCCUGCGUCUGAUUAGCUGGUAGGUGAGGUAACGGCUCACCUAGGCGACGAUCAGUAGCCGGUCUGAGAGGAUGAACGGCCACAUUGGGACUGAGACACGGCCCAGACUCCUACGGGAGGCAGCAGUGGGGAAUCUUCCGCAAUGGGCGCAAGCCUGACGGAGCAACGCCGCGUGAGUGAAGAAGGUCUUCGGAUCGUAAAGCUCUGUUGAUGGGGACGAACGUGCCUAAUGCGAAUAGUUUUAGGUAAUGACGGACCCAUCGAGAAGCCAC